rnacentral:piRNA from 1 species
UGCUGCUGCCAAAGCGUUGAGGAUCC